rnacentral:lncRNA from 1 species
UGCACACACACAUUAAAAACAAAGAAAAUGUUUUGAGAAUUCUAUUUAUGAAUAAAAGGAAGAAAAUAUAUUUUUAUCAAAAUAUGCUACCGGUUUCAAUUGUUUAAGCUAACUUAGUAAUGCUAUAAGAGAAGGGAAAAUAAAUUGAAUAAAAUAAAUAUUUCAUGAUAAUAUAUACACACACACACACACACCUUUGAUUUAUAUCUGUUAUGCCAUGGUAGUUUGGGUUAGAUGUAUAUAUUAUCGAGACAUUGUUUUACAGCUCAGUGCUCUUCUACUUACUAACAUGUACCUGCUUUUCAAGUAAAGAACUCCUUAUGUUUUUGAAGACAUGAAAGUAGCAAACGAUUUGUUUACUGCAGAAAAUGACAGCAUCAGUGAUUUCAGAGAAGCACAAAUAUCAACAAACCCACUGACACACCCUCAUAUGUGCACAUGCAUAUGUAUACACAAUGGGCUUCUUUUAGCUUCCAUCUACAAACUCCACUCACAAGACCUUGCUCAAAUUGCUACACACUUGAACUCACAAGACACUUGCUCAAAUUGCUACACAGUAGGACCAAACACAAAACCAGGUAGUUGGAAAGUAAACUUCAUAACUACACAGCCAUGCCUGAUUCAAACAUGCAAUAGCACUUAUUCAUUAAUACUCCAGACUCUGUCCUUCACAGUUCCUGUGAAGAAAGGAAACUGUAAACUUAAUCACACAGUCAUGCUUGUGCCUCAAGCUAUAAUUGUUAAGGAGGGCAUUCAGCUAUAGAAAUCAUGCCAAAAGAGACAAUGGAACCUGGUGCAGCCCCUGUCAAGCCAUCCACUUAUGCUAGCAUGGAAAAUGGCCGUUAAAUGAUGUGUAUAAAUAUAUAUGUAUAUAAUAUAUAUGCAUAAACAUUAUGGGUAUAUGAAAUAUAUAUAUAUAUAUAUAUAUAUAUAUACACACACAUAUAGGCACAGGUAUGACUGUGUAUUUAAGAAGUUUGUUUCCCAACUAUGUGAUUUUCAUUCAUUAUGUGGUACUCUCAGCAAGUGUUUUCUGCUUAGCUCCAAGCCAACCAAACCCUUGUGAAUGUGUUUGCUUGAGAGAAACUGAAAGAAAUUCAUCAUGUAUAUCUAUGUCUCUCUCAUCAUACAAGCAGUGCUUAUUUUCAAACUUACAUGGAAGCAUGUUUAGCCAUUGGAAACAGGUGAGGAUUAGCAAUAGGAAGGGCAUAUAGAUUUAAAAAAUUUGCCUCAAUGAAUUCCAUUUAACUCAUGCAAGCAUGAUAUAUGCUCAAUAUACACAGACAUACACAUGUAUAUCAUCAUCAUUGUUUCAUGUCCACUUUUCUUUGCUUACAUGGGCUAGAUAAUUUGUUCAAGUAGAUUUUCUACUUUCCUGUCACCAACCCUCACUAGUUUCUAAUGAAGGUAAUAUUUUCCUAUGGUCAGAUAUGGUAUUCAUGAAAGACUUGGAAAUGAACAUCAUUUGUAUGAUGAUAAUGCUCAUUUGCAAUCAUCAUAUGAUGCAAGAUGUGAGUAUGCACUGGCCCCACACAGAUUAUAUUUAUAUAUAUAUAUAUAAUGGGCCUCUUGCUAUAGCAGAAGAUACUUUGCACAAGGCACUGCAUCUAAGACCACAUGGUUGGGAAACAAGUUUCUUACCCAUAAUAUAUAUGUGUAUGUAUCAUUGUUUUAACAUUUGCUUUUCCAUGCAUGCUUGGGUAGGAUGGAGUUUAUUGAGGCAGAUACUCUAUGGUCAGACACUCUUCUUGCAGCCAACCCUAAUCUGUUACCAAGGAAACUAGUAUUUCCUCAUGGUCAUGUUUACACAGAGCAUUGGAAAUGCAUGACACUCCUUGUCUGACAGUGACACUCAUUUACAGUCACACAUACACAACAGGCUUCUUUCAAUUUCUGCCUACCAAAUUCACUCACCUAAGGUGCCAUGCAGUGGGACAGGACCCUAUGUGGUUGGGAAGCCUUGCUUGCACCUGCACGUAUAUACAACCACUGAAUAUAUGUAUAUAGAUGCCAAAUAUGUGCUUGUGUGUGUCUAUGUAUAUAUAUAUAUAUAUACACAUAUACACACACGUGGCAAAUGUAUAUAAAGAUUACAUACAUGCUAAAUAUAUAAAUUCUGAAUAUACAUGUGUUUAUAUAUGUAUGCGUGCAUAUAUAUAAAUUUAUAUAUACAUAUGUAUAUAUAGAUAUGUAUGCAUCUAUAUAUAUAUGUGUGUGUGUGUGUAUAUAUUUCAAUUAUUUUUUUAUAAAGCAAACCCACCCACCUGAACCCCUUCCCCCCUAACUCCACAAUACAAAUUUCUUGUAUUGAAAUGAUCUAAAUUAAAAGCUUUGUGUUAAUUUAUGUUCCAAACAAAAUCUUAAUGACAAAAGUUAUUUUACUCAAUUCUUCAUUAUUUAAAAAAUUCAAAUAAAGGCAGUGUAUUUCAACAGAAAUACAGUAAGAGGGGUUAAUCAUUGUCAUAACAGUUUCUGUGUUAAUACCAAUAAAAUCUAUAUCUGCUUAAGAAAACAGGUCAAAUGACAAAUUUUUCUUUUUGUUUUUUUCACAUUGCCAUUGUUUAAAAAUGUUUUUUUCAUAAUUUUGCUGUAAGGGAUUGAUAAUAAACCAAUAUUUUCAUGUAGAAACUUACUAAA